GAUGAACGCUAGCGGCAGGCUUAACACAUGCAAGUCGAGGGGCAGCGGGGGUAGCAAUACCCGCCGGCGACCGGCGAAAGGGUGCGUAACGCGUGAGCAACCUGCCCGCAUCCGGGGCAUAAGCGGUGGAAACGCCGUCUAAUUUCCCAUAACAACAGGGGCCGCAUGACCCCAGUUUGAAAGAUCCGUCGGAUGUGGAUGGGCUCGCGAGACAUUAGCUAGUCGGCGUGGUAACGGCACACCGAGGCGACGAUGUCUAGGGGUUCUGAGAGGAAGGUCCCCCACACUGGAACUGAGACACGGUCCAGACUCCUACGGGAGGCAGCAGUGAGGAAUAUUGGUCAAUGGGCGCAAGCCUUGAACAGCCAUGCCGCGUGAAGGAUAAAGGCCCUAUGGGUCGUAAACUUCUUUUGUGGCGGAGCAAUAAGGUCUACGUGUAGGCCGAUGAGAGUACGUCACGAAUAAGCAUCGGCUAACUCCGUGCCAGCAGCCGCGGUAAUACGGAGGAUGCAAGCGUUAUCCGGAUUUAUUGGGUUUAAAGGGUGCGUAGGCUGUUCGACAAGUCAGGGGUGAAAGCCCGGCGCCUAACGCCGGAACUGCCUUUGAUACUGCCGAGCUGGAAUACGGAUGCCGUGGGAGGAAUGAGUAGUGUAGCGGUGAAAUGCAUAGAUAUUACUCAGAACACCGAUUGCGAAGGCAUCUCACGAAUCCGUCAUUGACGCUGAGGCACGAAAGCGUGGGGAUCAAACA
rnacentral:rRNA from 1 species